rnacentral:pre_miRNA from 1 species
CAACUACUCCCUCUGUCCCAAAUUUCUUGUCUUAGAUUUGUCUAGAUACGGAUGUAUCUAAUACUAAAAUGUGACUUGAUACAUGCGUAUCUAGACAAAUCUAAGACAAGAAUUUUGGGACGGAGGGAGUACUUU